rnacentral:tRNA from 1 species
GGAAGGGUGCGAGAGUGGUUGAAUCGGUACGCUUGGAAAGCGUAUAUAGCGGCAACGUUAUCAUGGGUUCGAAUCCCAUCCCUUCCG